rnacentral:lncRNA from 1 species
GUAUAUAUUGAAAGAAGGUAAAAUCUUGAACAUCUUCAUAGUGCAUUGAACUCAAUGCUUCAGGAUUUUCCUAAGCUUAGACUAUAAAAAAAAUGGGGAAAAACAGGUUCCAAAUCCUUGUCAUGACAGAGCAAAUAACUGCAAAUCUAAUGUGAUUGAAAAACUCAUAUGAUUCUAAGUCUAAUAACAAGUGUAACAAUGGUCACAAUACAAAACAUAGUUUGAAAAAAUUGCUUCAACUCUUGAUCAAGACAAAGUCUUCGAUAGCCAACUUCACUGUUUGAAGAGGAAUCACUCAGCUAGCCAUCUUUAUCAUUUAAUUUUCUUGACCUAUUUUUGCUUCCCAAUUUUCAUUCACAUUGCCCAUCUGUAUUUCCAUAAAAGUAAAGCAAUAUCAAAACAAUAAUAAUUAAAUGCACAACCUUUAAUAUUUAGUAAUAACCAGCUUACUGCAACAAUCAGUAUGCAAAAAUGAUGAUGACAGUUUCAUAUGAACAAAAAAACACAAAAAGCAAUAAAUUAAGACAUAACAAAUGUAAUAAAUUAAUUUAUAUGAAAUAAAUUACGUGAUAUAAAAAUUAACCAACUAUAAAUAAAUAAGCACCUUCUAUGGAAAGAAUGAAAAGUGCCUCUGCUGCUAUUCUGCGAACAUUUUCAUCAUUUCCUUUUCUAACAAGCUUCAACAAGGAAGAGAUGUCACCAAGUUGGACCAUACUUUGCUUAUUUUUCUCAGCAAUUAAAAUUUGUUUCUUAGAGAUGCAUAUUGAAAGAAUUUAAAUAGGUAACAGAUAUGGAAAACCUGUUUUCACAGUCACAGUAGGAUUUGAUUGUAAUUUUGUUAUCCUAUUUGCAUUGCCACGAGAAGGAGCUGCUGAUCAGAAAUGAAAAAAAAUAUGAAACAUACAUGUUUGUACACCAAGCAUGGAAAAAUAUAAAUUAGAGUAAAAAUAUCAGUUCAAGCAACAAAAAUUGCCAGUAUAAAUAUCAGUUUGUCAUCACCCAUACUUCUAAUUUUAUGAUCCAAGUUGCCUCCAACUUUUCCCCAACCACUAGAAUGAUUUGAAUCAUAAGCAAUUUCAUUCUUCUCCAUUGAAGCACCCCAUGAACAGUUCUGAUUUGAAGUACUUUUAGUCUCCCAAGCAAUAACUUCUACACCUACACAUUACAACAAAACAAGGGAAAUGAUGAACAAGUAGUUAACUGGAAACAAAGACAUGCAUGUGCUAAAAAAUUUAUGUACUACAAUCUAUAUCUUUCGAACUAAAAGAUGUUGACUUUAAAGACAAUUCAAAAUUGUCCUAGAAUGUGUUUUUUCUAGUAGUGGUGGUUACCCGUUCAUGCACUCACAUACAAAAAUAUAUGUGAAAAUGGUCAAGUUAUUCCAAGAGUAACUCAAAGAGUUAUCCUCACUGGUAACAUAAAAAAUGAGUUACUUGUUAUAAUCAUUAGAUUAAAAGAAAA